rnacentral:rRNA from 1 species
UACAGGGGGGGCAAGCGUUGUUCGGAAUUACUGGGCGUAAAGGGCUCGUAGGCGGCCAACUAAGUCCGACGUGAAAUCCCAAAGCUUAACUUUGGAACUGCGUCGGAUACUGGAUGGCUUGAAUUCGGGAGAGGGAUGCAGAAUUCCAGGUGUAGCGGUGAAAUGCGUAGAUAUCUGGAGGAAUACCGGUGGCGAAGGCGGCAUCCUGGACCGACAUUGACGCUGAGGAGCGAAAGCUAGGGGAGCAAACGGGG